AAUAGGCGUAGGAGGAACUCUGCCACAAUUCUCCAGCUCUUACAAGGUAUUCGUGCUGGAAUGUUGGCUGAGUCGGAGAACCCUAAUCCUGAGAAUGAAAACAGGGACACAGGUAGAGAGUAGGGAUCGUGAGCGUGUUAUACUUAUAAAUCCGUUCAAUCAAACCAUCAUUGUGCAGGGUUCGGAUAAUAAUUCCAGGAACCAACCUAUUGACUCAUUGGGUGAUUAU
rnacentral:misc_RNA from 1 species